AGUGAACGCUGGCGGUAGGCCUAACACAUGCAAGUCGAACGGCAGCACAGGAGAGCUUGCUCUCUGGGUGGCGAGUGGCGGACGGGUGAGGAAUACAUCGGAAUCUACUUUUUCGUGGGGGAUAACGUAGGGAAACUUACGCUAAUACCGCAUACGACCUCCGGGUGAAAGCAGGGGAGUUUCGGACCUUGCGCGAUUGAAUGAGCAGAUGUCGGAUUAGCUAGUUGGCGGGGUAAAGGCCCACCAAGGCGACGAUCCGUAGCUGGUCUGAGAGGAUGAUCAGCCACACUGGAACUGAGACACGGUCCAGACUCCUACGGGAGGCAGCAGUGGGGAAUAUUGGACAAUGGGCGCAAGCCUGAUCCAGCCAUACCGCGUGGGUGAAGAAGGCCUUCGGGUUGUAAAGCCCUUUUGUUGGGAAAGAGAUCCAGCUGGUUAAUACCCGGUUGGGAUGACGGUACCCAAAGAAUAAGCACCGGCUAACUUCGUGCCAGCAGCCGCAGUAA
rnacentral:rRNA from 1 species